rnacentral:rRNA from 1 species
GACGAACGCUGGCGGCAUGCUUAACACAUGCAAGUCGAACGAAGUGGCGAACGGGUGAGUAAUGCGUAAUAAACCUGCCCUUCAGAGGGUGCCAACAGGUGGCAACGACUGCUAAUACCGCAUACUUCAGGUGGGGAUUGCGUAUGAUUCGCUAGUUGGAGGGGUAACGGCCCACCAAGGCGAUGAUCAGUAGCCGGUCUGGGAGGAUGAACGGCCACAGUGGGACUGAGUCACGGCCCAGACUUCUACGGGAGGCAGCAGGGGGGAAUCUGCCGCAAUGGACGAAAGUCUGACGGAGCAACGCCGCGGGAGUGAUGACGGCCUUCGGGUUGUAAAGCUCUGUUAAGCGGGACGCGGUACCGGAAGAGAAAGCCACGGCUAACUACGUGCCAGCAGCCGCGGUAAUAC